CAGCAGCCGCGGUAAUACGUAGGGUGCGAGCGUUCAUCGGAUUUACUGGGCGUAAAGCGUGCGCAGGCGGCCCGUUAAGACAGGUGUGAAAUCCCUGGGCUCAACCUAGGAAUUGCGCUUGUGACUGGCGGGCUCGAGUACGGUAGAGGGGGGUGGAAUUCCUGGGGUAGCAGUGAAAUGCGUAGAGAUCAGGAGGAACACCGAUGGCGAAGGCAGCCCCCUGGGCCUGUACUGACGCUCAUGCACGAAAGCGUGGGGAGCAAACAGGAUUAGAUACCCUGGUAGUCCACGCCCUAAACGAUGGGUACUAGCCGUUUGGUGCGCGAUACCGCUGAGUGGCGAAGCUAACGCAUUAAGUGCCCCGCCUGGGGAGUACGGCCGCAAGGUUGAAACUUAAAGGAAUUGGCGGG
rnacentral:rRNA from 1 species